rnacentral:rRNA from 1 species
AUUGAACGCUGGCGUCAGGCCUAACACAUGCAAGUCGAGCGGUUGAAGGGGGCUUGCUCCUGGAUUCAGCGGCGGACGGGUGAGUUAUGCCUAGGAAUCUGCCUGGUUGUGGGGUAUAACGUCCGGAAACGGGCGCUAAUACCGCAUCCGUCCUGAGGGAGAAAGUGGGGGAUCUUCGGACCUCACGCUAUCAGAUGAGCCUAGGUCGGAUUAGCUAGUUGGUGGGGUAAAGGCCUACCAAGGCGGCGAUCCGUAACUGGUCUGAGAGAGUGAACAGUCACACUGGAACUGUAACACGCUACAGACUCCUACGGGAGGCAGCAGUGGGGAAUAUUAGACAGUGGGCGAAAGCCGGGACGAAAAAGGUCGCGUGUGUGAAGAAGGUCUUCGGAUUGUAAAGCACUUUAAGUAGGGAGGAAGAGGAGUAAGUUAAGACCAAGCAGUUUUGGAGGUACAAACAGAAUAAGCACAGGCUAACUUCGUG